UUCAUACCUGAAACAAGCAUGAUACAAAUACUGGGUAUAACUUAUAUCAGGGAGGAAUUCCUGGGUAGGGACUGUUUAGAAACCAAGUAAAGAGUUGACUUCGUAUCUUGGCAACAUUUAUCAUAUUCUGAUUCACAUAGGGAUAUUAGUGGUUUAAUGCAAAGAAACUUAGCAUGUACCUUAAAGAGCAUCUUAUUAUAAUAUUGCCUAAAAGGUAAUACUGAGGUUGAAAGUUUCUCUUGACAGCUCCAAUAUAGUUUAAAUUUGAAUGAAUUCAGGAAAAUGUAAAUGCUCUUGUGGGCAUACAUUGUUAAAAACAUCUCAUGUAUUUAUUGUGACAGUAUUGUGCCACAUUUGCUUAGCUUACUUCAGCCUGAAGUCGUCAGCUGCCAGCCUGGCAUUAUCAACCUGAAUCAGGAUAUUGGCAUUGUCUGUUGUCAGGGUGAGGAUCUGGAAGAAGAGACAAAGAAAUCAGAUACAGACACAGCUUUUAUAGUGGCAUAGACAGCCCCAGACAUGUGAAUUACAGUGGUAAAAAUGGAGCCUGUUCCAGCCUACAAAUGAACUAAAUGAAAUUUUUAAGCCUGCUCUCUCCUCUAGGAGAUCAGCUGCCCUCUGGCCUUCGUUAGGUUUUCCCAGUGGGGACAAAUCAGGAAAUUGCAGGAAGGUGGAUUGACACAGGUCUCAGAGGAAAGAAAGCAUUUUUGGAUACAUGUUAUAUUCACUCUGUGGAAACUUUCUGGGCUUCUUCCUUCCAAGCUUCCUUAUAGAAGGCCUGCUCACUGCUGCAGAUCAUCUUCUAUUUGCUGUGUAUCCUGGAGGUGACAGAUAAUGCCGAUAAUGAUGACUAAAAUGUUCACUGGCUUCUCCCUACUGAGACCUGCCUUCCCCUAGAGCUGUUCUCACCUUCCCACUGGUUAACAUUCAGGUAUCCUUGCUCAUUUCAACUCUACAAGCUGUAAAAACACCUGACAGAGUCACGUAGGAGAGGGAGAGAUUCCACUGCAGGCUUCAGUGGGGAACUGAGUCAAAUUCUCCCACCUUCAUGUCACCCCUUGGAGGACUUUUCCUUCCCUUCAGCCUCUGACUCAUAAAACAGGAAAACCAAACUUUAUUGUUCUGCUUUAUCUCUAACACCAUUGUCCAAUGAACUCUGUAUUAGUAUGGAUCUAAAUCUAAUCUGUGCUUUUUGUUUCAGGAUUAUCUCUUGAUUAGAUGCUGAUUGUAUAUGUUUGUUUUUUAAAUAAUGAUGAAAAUUUAUCUUAAGCCUACUCAGUCAUUUAUUAGGUAAGAUAGAGAAGUUAGACAUCAAAAUUGCUCUAUUCAGAACCAGCACAUAAGACUGUUUAAAAUGAGUGUUGGAUAAAAAUAACUUAAAGUACCUUGGAGUUACUUUUACAUAAUGAAACAUGUAAUAUAAAAUGUAAUUAAAUAUUUAAGAGUAUCAUAGUUUUAAAAUAUGCCCUCAAAAUAUCUGUUUAACUUAUCAAACCCAUAAAAUGAAUGAGGAGGUGUCAUAUCUUCUGGGAAGAGUUAACUAAGUCUCUCACACUUUAAAAAAAUAAUCAGCUUGUACCAACAGUGGAGCAAUGUCGCUUCUGCCAAUUAAAAAUGGUGAUGACUCUCUUUAUUCCAUUUAUGCCUAUGCAGCAAAGAAAAACAAUGUGUGAAACCUUAUCGUGCAUUUACCUUUAGUUCAUAAAAACCGAGAUUAUUGUCACUAGAUUAUGUAAAGACUUACCUAUAAUUGGUGCUAAAUAAAUAUUUAUUGAAUGAAUACACAAAUGAAUACAGGAUGCCUCAUUUAAACAUUUAGUUUAAAUGUUUUUAAACUGAACAUUUAAAAAAAUAAAUAUUAUACUUCAA